rnacentral:lncRNA from 10 species
CUCCCCCAGCCUCGCUGCCACGUUGCAGUUUGAUCUCAGACUGCUGUGCUAGCAAUCAGUGAGGCUCCGUGGGUGUAGGACCCUGUGAGCCAUGCGCGGGAUAUAAUCUCCUGGUGUGCUGUUUGCUAAGACUGUCGGAAAAGUGCAGUAUUAGGGUGGGAGUGACCCGAUUUUCCAGGUGCUGUUUGUCCCCACUUCCCUUGGCUAGGAAAGGGAAUUCUCUGACUCCUUGUGGUUCCCGGGUGAGGCGAUGCCUCGCCCUGCUUCGGCUCAUGCUCGGUGCUCUGCACCCACUGUCCUGCACCCACUGUCUGACAAUCCCCAGUGAGAUGAACCCGGUACCUCAGUUGGAAAUGGAGAAAUCACCCAUCUUCUGUGUCGCUCAUGCUGGGAGCUGUAGACUGGAGCUGUUCCUAUUCGGCCAUCUUGGAACCACCCCAGAACAUGGCAAUGGCUACAAGCUUGGAGUCUUUGGGAUUAAGCUUAAGUCAAGGCAGUUAUGUCUUCAGCAAAGCCUAGUUAAUUUUUUAGACCCUGAGGGCAGUUAGAGCGGAGUCCAAGGCCACAGGUAAACUUAACCUUUAACAUCUGCUUUGGUUUCUUGUGUUUUCUACAGUGUCG